GAAGAAAAUCAACAAAGGAGGAAGCUUUUGACUUCAUAUCCCAUCCCAAUAUAUUGUUGUCAUAUCCCAACCCCAUAUCCCGUCCCCAUAUCUCAACCUCCUAUCCCGUCCUCAUAUCCCGACCUCCUGUCCCUACCUCCUAUUCCGACCUCAUGUCUGGACCUCCUAUCCCGUCCUCAUAUCCCGACCUCCUGUCCCUACCUCCUAUCCCGUCCUCAUAUCCUAACCUCAUGUCUGGACCUCCUAUCCCGACCUCCUCUCUUUGUGAGAUGGGGUGGGGCUUGCAAGCCGGACUGACACAUUCAACAGGAGAUGCAGAGCGGAGCUUGUGGAGUAAGGAUGCCAGGUUGUAACUGAAGAGUUGGCACCAUGGAUGACUCUCCAGCAGAUGAGGGUGGCCUGGCAGGUGGCACGUGGCGUCCAGCAUUCAUCUGGUCCACAAAGGCUUCGACCCCAUCAAACUUGGUGCUCUUCCCUCUCAAUCUUAAGGAAGACCUGUCAGCAGGAGCUUCAACCUAUUGAUAGAAAAGACAUACAACGUCUUCAAGUGUCUGUAAGGUGUCAGCCAUACUGAAUCUCUAAGACGCGGGCUGCCCUGUGCAUACAUCUGUGACUAAGACUCCUCUGCCCUCCUCUUUCUAGUGGAAACAAGAUGUCAUAUGACUAAUACUUUCCACGUACAACACUUGGCUGGUUUCAACGCAGAAGGACCCGGCCAUAGCUAAUAGGAUCGGAUGGAUGUAGAUUUAUAAAGCCAAUACGUUUACCCUUGCAGAAAAUCUGCUGGAUAAGUGUGGUUAGGCUACGUUUCUACACAAAUGUAUCUUUAAAAAAAAAAAUAAAAAAAAAUUAAAAUAACUUCCAACUUUUUUUUUUCUGCGUUGUUGCAUUUGUUUUUGUUAGUUUUUUGGGUCUUUUUUGUUUUCUUUUUUGAGCCUUUGGCAGUUUUUCACUCUGGGUGCAUUCACAUCACGAUUUUACCAUCCUACUUCUACUCACGAUUUUUAACUUUGAAAUCGUACAAAUCUGCACGCCAAGUCGUAUCCAUUGACUUCCAUUCAUUAAAGGGGUACUCCCGAGGAAAACUUUUUAUUUUUUAUUUUUUUAUCAACUGGUGCCAAAAAGUUAAACAGAUUUGUAAAUAAGAACAACAAAAAGAGAUGUAGGUGCACUCACCGCAAAGUUGAGACUGUCACAUCUUGGUGUCUGGUGUCGGGUAGCUUGGUCACGGCAUUCGGCGCUGGUAUCUUGUGGUGCUCAGAGGCUACGCCGGCAGUUUCGCACGUAAGUGCGAGCUUCUUUUGGCCUUGUCUCUUUUUGUUGUUCUUAUCUGUGUACGUGCACCCCGCAGGAGACUGGUAUCGGAGGUCGCCGUGGACCUUGCUGUAUACGUCAUUAGGUGAUAUAGUUCUCCAUGUGUGCUCUCCCUGUACUUCUACCUUAGUAUUUAGAUUUGUAAAUUACUUCUAUUAAAAAAUCUUAAUCCUUCCAGUACUUAUUAGCUGCUGAAUACU